rnacentral:rRNA from 1 species
AUACGGAGGGUCCGAGCGUUAUCCGGAAUCAUUGGGUUUAAAGGGUCCGUAGGCGGGAAUCUAAGUCAGUGGUGAAAUCUUGCAGCUCAACUGUAAAAUUGCCAUUGAUACUGGAUUUCUUGAAUUAGUGUGAAGUGGUUAGAAUGUGUAGUGUAGCGGUGAAAUGCAUAGAUAUUACACAGAAUACCAAUUGCGAAGGCAGAUCACUAACACAAUAUUGACGCUAAGGGACGAAAGCGUGGGGAGCGAACAGGAUUAGAAACCCCAGUAGUCC